rnacentral:lncRNA from 1 species
AAAAAAAACAACAUUUUUUAAAAAAUGUAAGCUUUAUUCGUUAUUAUUAUUAUUAUUUAUAUGUCAUAUUUUUGUGUUUAAAAGGGAAGUGUCAUUAUUCGGCCGAUUAAAAAGUUCCUUAAAUAGAAUUACAUAUGUGGAUUAUGACACAUUUCGAACAAAUGUGGCACGACUUAAAGUAUGAGACAAACAUAAACAAAUUUAGCAUUGACACACACACGCACUUAUUCACAGAAUCUAAACGAGUGCACAUAUGCCUUACAGAUGAUACAUUGUCACUCUUAAUAGUAAGAAUAAAUGAUUAUAUAUUCAUUAAAUUAUACAAAACUGGAAAGUUAAACAUUUUUGAUGGAACGUGUUUUAAAUUUUGUAUCAGCUUUUAUGAUAUACAGAAGUUUAAAUAAGAAACAUCAUUUUUUUAAAGUUAUUUUUAUGUUCAUUGGUAAUAGCGCGACACGUCUUGGCUGAGCGAAUAAGAACAGAUAACUCUCAGAAUUUGUGUUUCUUGUGAGAAAAUGCACUACUGAUAUCUUUUAUUCUUCAAUUUAAUUGUUUAAGUUACUUAUUCUCUUGUUAAUAAUUAAACAUAGUGCACUAUAACUGUUUAAACACCAUAUAUAUAUAGUAUGCUUAAACUUCCUUUUAGAUUUAGAAAAUUGGUGAAGGAAGCCAAAAAUUCUCGUUCACUUUUUUACAAUUCGCUAGAUUUUUAUGUUUAUACAUUAAAACAUUAAAUUAAAAAUAAGUGUUCUGAAUGUUAGCAGUUGGUUCCAAUAACCGACUUAGAGAAAAAAUGUUCGUGAUUUACAAGGAUAUUUUUGUCGUUAUCAGUCACAACAAUAUUUAUCGCGGGUCAGUUCCCUGUUAAGAGAAAGGACAGAUAAUUUCACACCGAUGACGUCACCUACAGUAAUGAAAGUAAAAUGCAAACAGGAUGUCUGCAGCCUUAAUAUCCUACUAGUCAACAUUUCGAUUAGGAGUCCGACUGAAUAAUUAUUGUUUAAGUUAGUCAAUGACCUCGUUAAACUAACAAUUCCUAUAUUUUAAUUAUUUUAAAGUAAAAUCUAUUCUUUUAAGCCCAUAAUGACCUAUUAACGAGGCGAUGCAGAUGAGGUCACAUUAACGUUAACUUUUCUUCUUUUUUUAUUCUUUUAUAAAAAUUAUCAAUUGAUUUUAGUUUAAUUUUUCGUAUUUUCUCUUCUUUUUUAAUAAAUUUCUUAUCUGCCAUCAAAGAUAUUUGUUAUCUAGUUGAAAAAUGUCAAAG